rnacentral:lncRNA from 1 species
UCGUCGGAGCAAAAACUUUCGGUUUGGACUUAUUUUAUAGGUCACUCCAGCAUCAGCAUCCUUGCACAAGGCUCAGUCAUCUUUUCUCCGAUCUCUACCAAAUUGAGUAGCAACAGAUAGAGGAAGGGUAUACUUUCACAUCAUGCCACCAAUGAAAAUCACCACCAAAUAAUCGAAGCGAGCUGCUGCCUUUCGAAUUGCCGUUGG